rnacentral:rRNA from 1 species
GACGAACGCUGGCGGCGUGCUUAACACAUGCAAGUCGAACGGAAAGGCCCUGCUUUUGUGGGGUGCUCGAGUGGCGAACGGGUGAGUAACACGUGAGUAACCUGCCCUUGACUUUGGGAUAACUUCAGGAAACUGGGGCUAAUACCGGAUAGGAGCUCCUGCUGCAUGGUGGGGGUUGGAAAGUUUCGGCGGUUGGGGAUGGACUCGCGGCUUAUCAGCUUGUUGGUGGGGGAGUGGCUUACCAAGGCUUUGACGGGUAGCCGGCCGGGGAGGGUGACCGGCCACAUUGGACCUGAGAUAGGGCCCAGACUCCUACGGGAGGCAGCAGUGGGGAAUAUUGCAAACGGGGCGGAAGCCUGAUGCAGCAACGCCGGGUGGGGGAUGACGGCCUUCGGGUUGUAAACCGCUUCCGCCUGUGACGAAGCGUGAGUGACGGUAAUGGGUAAAGAAGCACCGGCUAACUACGUG